rnacentral:rRNA from 1 species
UCGAGAAUUUUUCUCAAUGGGGGAAACCCUGAAGGAGCGACGCCGCGUGGAGGAUGAAGGCUUUCGGGUUGUAAACUCCUGUCAUUUGGGAACAAGGCUGUGCGAUUAACUGUCGCGUAGUUGAUAGUACCAGAAGAGGAAGAGACGGCUAACUCUGUGCCAGCAGCCGCGGUAAUACAGAGGUCUCGAGCGUUGUUCGGAUUCAUUGGGCGUAAAGGGUGCGUAGGUGGCGCUGUAAGUCGGGUGUGAAAUCCUGAGGCUUAACCUCGGAACUGCAUUCGAUACUGCGGUGCUUGAGGACUGGAGAGGAGACUGGAAUUCAUGGUGUAGCAGUGAAAUGCGUAGAGAUCAUGAGGAAGACCAGUGGCGAAGGCGGGUCUCUGGACAGUUCCUGACACUGAGGCACGAAGGCCAGGGGAGCAAACGGGAUUAGAUACCCCCGUAGUCC